GGGAGGCAGCAGUGGGGAAUCUUGCGCAAUGGGCGAAAGCCUGACGCAGCGACGCCGCGUGGGUGAUGAAGGCCUUCGGGUUGUAAAGCCCUGUGGGGAGGGACGAAUAACGACGACUUAAUACGUCGUCAGAUGACGGUACCUCCUUAGCAAGCACCGGCUAACUCUGUGCCAGCAGCCGCGGUAAGACAGAGGGUGCAAACGUUGUUCGGAAUUACUGGGCGUAAAGCGCGUGUAGGCGGUCUGGUAAGUCGGGUGUGAAAGCCCGGGGCUCAACCCCGGAAGUGCAUUCGAUACUACCAAACUAGAGUACUGGAGAGGAUGGUGGAACUCUCGGUGUAGAGGUGAAAUUCGUAGAUAUCGAGAAGAACACCGGUGGCGAAGGCGGCCAUCUGGACAGAUACUGACGCUGAGACGCGAAAGCGUGGGGAGCAAACAGGAUUAGAUACCCCCGUAGUCCU
rnacentral:rRNA from 1 species